rnacentral:rRNA from 1 species
GAUGAACGCUAGCGGGAGGCCUAACACAUGCAAGCCGAGCGGUAUUGUUUCUUCGGAAAUGAGAGAGCGGCGUACGGGUGCGGAACACGUGUGCAACCUGCCUUUAUCUGGGGGAUAGCCUUUCGAAAGGAAGAUUAAUACUCCAUAAUAUAUUGAACGGCAUCGUUUAAUAUUGAAAGCUCCGGCGGAUAGAGAUGGGCACGCGCAAGAUUAGCUAGUUGGUGAGGUAACGGCUCACCAAGGCGAUGAUCUUUAGGGGGCCUGAGAGGGUGAUCCCCCACACUGGUACUGAGACACGGACCAGACUCCUACGGGAGGCAGCAGUGAGGAAUAUUGGUCAAUGGGUGCAAGCCUGAACCAGCCAUCCCGCGUGAAGGACGACUGCCCUAUGGGUUGUAAACUUCUUUUGUAUAGGGAUAAACCUACCCUCGUGAGGGUAGCUGAAGGUACUAUACGAAUAAGCACCGGCUAACUCCGUGCCAGCAGCCGCGGUAAUACGGAGGGUGCAAGCGUUAUCCGGAUUUAUUGGGUUUAAAGGGUCCGUAGGCGGACUUAUAAGUCAGUGGUGAAAGCCUGUCGCUUAACGAUAGAACUGCCAUUGAUACUGUAAGUCUUGAGUAUAUUUGAGGUAGCUGGAAUAAGUAGUGUAGCGGUGAAAUGCAUAGAUAUUACUUAGAACACCAAUUGCGAAGGCAGGUUACCAAGAUAUAACUGACGCUGAGGGACGAAAGCGUGGGGAGCGAACAGGAUUAGAUACCCUGGUAGUCCACGCCGUAAACGAUGCUAACUCGUUUUUGGGCUUUAGGGUUCAGAGACCAAGCGAAAGUGAUAAGUUAGCCACCUGGGGAGUACGCUCGCAAGAGUGAAACUCAAAGGAAUUGACGGAGGCCCGCACAAGCGGUGGAUUAUGUGGUUUAAUUCGAUGAUACGCGAGGAACCUUACCAAGACUUAAAUGGGAAUUGACAGCUUUAGAAAUAGAGCUUUCUUCGGACAAUUUUCAAGGUGCUGCAUGGUUGUCGUCAGCUCGUGCCGUGAGGUGUUAGGUUAAGUCCUGCAACGAGCGCAACCCCUGUCACUAGUUGCCAUCAUUCAGUUGGGGACUCUAGUGAGACUGCCUACGCAAGUAGAGAGGAAGGUGGGGAUGACGUCAAAUCAUCACGGCCCUUACGUCUUGGGCCACACACGUAAUACAAUGGCCGGUACAGAGGGCAGCUACACAGCGAUGUGAUGCAAAUCUCGAAAGCCGGUCUCAGUUCGGAUUGGAGUCUGCAACUCGACUCUAUGAAGCUGGAAUCGCUAGUAAUCGCGCAUCAGCCAUGGCGCGGUGAAUACGUUCCCGGGCCU